CGGGGCUGCUGGUGUCCU
rnacentral:miRNA from 1 species